rnacentral:lncRNA from 10 species
AUUCUGCUGGAUGUUGAGAGGCACGCCAAACUCAGGAGGAGCCAAAUGGAAGAGAUGCAGAGAGCAAGGUAUAUGGGAAGGGACACAAAGCUUCCAUGUCUUCCCAUGUCAUCUCCUGAACUCUAGCCUUCUACCACCUCAAUGUGUUCACCAAUCCAGAAGCUCACCAAACCCUGUUGUUAAGGAUUUUUAUGUUGUUUAGGUUUCCUGUGUUCCAUGACACAGGCAUGGUUGAUUAAAUCAUUGGCCAUUGGUGAUUGAAUUCAAUCUCCAUCCCUCUCC